rnacentral:lncRNA from 1 species
CCAAGUCGCCAAGCCUCAGCUGAGUUUAACUGCAGACUCUCAAGAGGAGCAAACCCGCAAGGCAGACUCUGACACCAGAGCAGCUGCCUGUGAGAGAUUUGAAUCAACUCAGCCCCACCCCUCCACCCCUCCAACAGCCACUUUCCAACCUGUUGAGCUGCCUGCAGGCUCUGUGUGGUGUGCUCCAGGUCCUCAGCUUUGUGAGCUGUCACCCACACUGGGGUGGCCUUUGGUGAUACAGCUGUCUUUGAGUCAUUUCUGCUCCUGUUAACCAGAUAUAGGACUCCUCUGUCUUGCUACGAUGGACAGCCACAAGGAUUCACUUGAAUAAAAGAAGCAACAGUGGGUGCCAGGCUGUUUGAAAUGUGCUGUUUUGUUAUACAUUUAUUACAAAGAAUCUCACAAAAAGAAAAUAUUUCAAAAAGAAUGCCAGGCUAAAGAACCUCCACCUGGAGAACUGGGGGAAGGCAGGGCAAUGUAAGUUCUUCUGCCUGCCCAAGACCUGUGGAAGAUAUAAACAGAACCAGUCUAAAAAUGGCUGAUAUUACCCAAGCCUGAAAAGGGCUCACAGAACACCAAGUCACCCCUGCUAGAAAGCUUAAUCAGGGCAUCUUAACAGAGCUCCUAAGCAGGCUUGGCAGUUCAGGAUUUUGUCUUCUGGUUGUUUUCUUUUCCACUUAGAAUAUCAACGUCAACAUACAGCACCCUCUGGCCAUACUUUAGCAGUUCCAGGAUGGCC